rnacentral:sRNA from 1 species
GAAUGAAACCGUUUCCCUUGG